AGUGAACGCUGGCGGUAGGCCUAACACAUGCAAGUCGAACGGCAGCACAGUAAGAGCUUGCUCUUACGGGUGGCGAGUGGCGGACGGGUGAGGAAUACAUCGGAAUCUACUUUUUCGUGGGGGAUAACGUAGGGAAACUUACGCUAAUACCGCAUACGACCUACGGGUGAAAGCAGGGGAUCUUCGGACCUUGCGCGAUUGAAUGAGCCGAUGUCGGAUUAGCUAGUUGGAGGGGUAAAGGCCCACCAAGGCGACGAUCCGUAGCUGGUCUGAGAGGAUGAUCAGCCACACUGGAACUGAGACACGGUCCAGACUCCUACGGGAGGCAGCAGUGGGGAAUAUUGGACAAAGGGCGCAAGCCUGAUCCAGCCAUACCGCGUGGGUGAAGAAGGCCUUCGGGUUGUAAAGCCCUUUUGUUGGGAAAGAAAAGCAGCAGGUUAAUACCCCGCUGUUUUGACGGUACCCAAAGAAUAAGCACCGGCUAACUUCGUG
rnacentral:rRNA from 1 species